rnacentral:rRNA from 1 species
UACGGAGGAUGCAAGCAUUAAUCGGAUUUAUUGGGCGUAAAGGGCGCGUAGGCGGGGAAAUAAGUCAGAUGUGAAAUCCCGGGGCUCAACCCCGGAACAGCAUUUGAAACUGUUUUUCUUGAGGGUAGGCGGAGAAAACGGAAUUCCACAAGUAGCGGUGAAAUGCGUAGAUAUGUGGAAGAACACCAGUGGCGAAGGCGGUUUUCUAGCUUACUCCUGACGCUGAGGCGCGAAAGCAAGGGGAUCAAACAGG